rnacentral:tRNA from 1 species
CAUAAGAUGACUGAAAUCAAGUACUGGUCUCUUAAACCAUUUUAUAGUAUUCUAGCAAAUACUUCUUAUGA